UUCUGCUAAGAUACUUCAUCAACAUCUGAACUCUGACCCUUCCCUACACUCCAGCUUCGUAGCCCGUUCCCCUCACAGACACCUCUUUAUCUUACCUUCAGCACUUCAGUUGUGAUCGGUCACCAUGGACAGUAUUUACAUUGGUGUUUUAUGUUUACGCAUGUUUGGAUGUCUCAUCAUGUCCUGUCUGUGUCCGGUGUGAUGUUCUCUGUGCCUUUUAAUUGCCCCCUCGGAGACAAAUAUAGUGUUUUGAAUUGACGUCUUCUUCAACUUCCUGAUUAACUUUUCCUUUCCUAUUCCAGAGAACACUUUGACAAUACGAGGAAAAGCUUUCUAGCUAUUAAGGCUAGAAAAAUGCACGACUGCAGUCUACAAGAACAAACAUCGGAAAAAACCUUCAUGAGCAACAGUGAAAGGAUUCUUUCUCUUUACACUCCUGUAGGCAUCUGAUUGAUCCGAAUUGAUAACAGAAGACUGUGUGCUACUCUUUGUAACAUAAGUGAAGAAAGUCAAUCCAAGGGAAUGUCAACUGUCUUCCAGGUGGACUUAAUGAGGAAACCACAGAGACUGAAGAGACGAGGUGAGACUGUGGGUGUCUUGGAGCAGCAAACGGAUCCAGAUCCAAAACUUCUGGAAAUGAGCAGUAACAGGAGUCAGGAACUACUCAGUGCCAGACCCACCCGGCCUGUUUGACGGUCAUGUCAAAACAUCAUGGAGUUAUGAUGUAAUAUGCAAGAAAUAUGGCUGAUUUCAAGUUUUCGAAAGUGGUCGAAACAUGUCAAGGUUGUGCUUUUAUGCAGUGAGCUGAUGAAAGGAUUACAUGCAGGUGUGGAGAAGCACCAGGAUUGAGACACGCCCACCUGACACAGGGAGGAGGAAGACACACAAGAAAGUGGUCAUGGAGAGCUGUGGAGACAGUGGAGGAUUGGAGAGAAAACAAUAGACACAGUCGUGGAACUUCAGCUCAUAAUGCCACUCCUGCCAUUAGACAAAUUAUCUGACAUUUAGCAGACUGGGGUCAGCCUCCCUGUGAAGUGAUGACUUUAUUGACCCUGGGGGGGCCUUGGAUGGAAGUGUGUCUCUUUGGUUCCCCGCGGUGUCCAACAGGGAAGACUCCUCCGCUCUGGAACCUUGUUCUGGCCCGUACACCCUCAAAGCUGAGGCAGCUGCUGUUCCCGGUGUCUGAAGUCUACCUGAGGGCCCCUUUGUCCUCGGGGGCCCGUCCCUUUGUUCCGCUGACGCAAACAAACAGAUGUCCGGCCGCUGGGCUUUCUCGUAGGAAGUUGUAAACCUCCAGUGUGCAGUGGGUGCUAUUCAUAUGGAGAGACUACAGCAAUGCCUGGGCAAGUACCAUACACAUGCAAAUGCAGACACGCUGACACCCCAUAGGGUUAACAAAUGUUUGACUAUGUAACUACUGCAGGCCACGACAGUCCAGCAGACUAUGGCUGCGUCUCAAUGAAACCUCCCUGUAGCAGAGUAAUCACCAUGAACUGUGUCAGUGACACAGGAAAUUGUGUAGGGAGGAAUUUGAGAGACCUUUUAACAGUGUGUAAACACGAUCACAUGCUACCUACACUGAACAGGACUCAAAUCAGAGUAGACCUCACAGGGUUCAGUUGUAAAAUAUGUUAAUGCAUAAACAAAUGGAGCAGCACAGUAACAUGAAUCAGCCUUCAGAGGGAAAGUAUCCAACUUCUGCUCUGUUAGUGCCAAUCUGAAUACUUUUGUGAUUAAAAGUUACUCACUACAUUUGUAAAAUCAG